UGAGGAAUAUUGGUCAAUGGGCGGAAGCCUGAACCAGCCAUGCCGCGUGCGGGAAGGAGGCCCUAUGGGCUGUGAACCGCUUUUGCCUGGGGGCAAUAAGGGCGCCGGGCACGUCCGAUGAGAGUACCAGGGGAAUAAGCAUCGGCUAACUCCGUGCCAGCAGCCGCGGUAAUACGGGGGAUGCGAGCGUUAUCCGGAUUCAUUGGGUUUAAAGGGUGCGUAGGCUGUGCGUCAAGUCAGGGUGAAAUUCCGGGGCUCAACUCCGGGGCUGCCCUUGAUACUGUCGCGCUGGAGUGCGGAUGCCGCCGGAGGAAUGAGUGGUGUAGCGGUGAAAUGCUUAGAUAUCACGCAGAACUCCGAUUGCGAAGGCAGCUUUCCAGCGCGCUACUGACGCUGAGGCACGAAAGCGUGGGGAUCGAACAGGAUUAGAUACCCUGGUAGU
rnacentral:rRNA from 1 species